AGGCUGUGAUGGGUAGCCGGCCUGAGAGGGCGUACGGCCACAUUGGGACUGAGACACGGCCCAGACUCCUGCGGGAGGCAGCAGUAGGGAAUCUUCCGCAAUGGGCGAAAGCCUGACGGAGCGAUGCCACGUGGAUGACGGAGGCCUUCGGGUCGUAAAAUCCUGUCAGGGGGGACGAUGGUCAAUUUUCGGAUUGAUUGACGGUACCUCCAGAGGAAGCUCCGGCCAACUACGUGCCAGCAGCCGCGGUAAUACGUAGGGAGCAAGCGUUGUUCGGAUUUACCGGGCGUAAAGAGUGCGUAGGCGGUCAGGUAAGUCAGAGGUGAAAUCUCUGCUCUUAAGGCAGAAACUGCCUUUGAUACUGCUUGACUCGAGGACAGGAGAGGGAAGUGGAACUCUGGAAGUAGCGGUGAAAUGCGUAGAUAUUCAGGGGAACGCCGGUGGCGAAAGCGGCUUUCUAGUCUGUCCCUGACGCUGAGGCACGAAAGCUAGGGUAGCGAUCGGGAUUAGAGACCCCGGUAGUCCUAGCCGUAAACGAUGGGUACUAAGUGUGGGGGGGGAGCAUUACUCUCCGUGCUGAAGCUAACGUGUUAAGUACCCCGCCUGGGGGAGUACGGUCGCAAGACUGAAACUCAAAAGAAUUGACGGGGGGCUGAACAAGCAGUGGAGCACGUGGUUUAAUUCGACGCAAAACGAAGAACCUUACCAGGACUUGACAUGCCAGUAGUAGCGACCUGAAAGGGAAGCGAUCCUUAUCUUAGGAUAGGGAAGCUAGCACAGGUGGUGCAUGGCUGUCGUCAGCUCGUGCCGUGAGGUGUUGGGUUAAGUCCCUUAACCAGCGCAACCCUUGCUUCUAGUUGCCAGCGGGUAAUGCCGGGCACUCUAGAGGGACCGCCGCCAGAAAGCGGAGGAAGGUGGGGAUGACGUCAAGUCAUCACGCCCCUUAUGUCCUGGGCUACACACGUGCUACAAUGGCCAUGACAGAGAGAAGCAAGGGAGCGAUCUUGAGCGAAUCUCAAAAAAUGGUCCCAGUCCGGAUUGCAGGCUGCAAUUCGCCUGCAUGAAGUCGGAAUUGCUAGUAAUCGCAGAUCAGCUAUGCUGCGGUGAAUACGUUCUCAGCCCUUGUACACACCGCCCGUCACACCACCUGAGUUGGCUAUACCCGAAGAUACCUGACCAACCGGCUUGCCGGAGGAAGAGUAUCCAAGGUGUAUCUGGCAAGGGGGAUG
rnacentral:rRNA from 1 species